rnacentral:lncRNA from 1 species
UGCGGCUGCGCCCCUCCGGUAGUAGGAUGUGCAUGUUCUGUUGCGGCUCCACUUCCUUGAGCGGCUGGCUGCUUUCCCCUUACACGUUUCUGCCGAGUGCGAGGAGGAUCCGCAGGUACAAUAAACAAUUGCAUCCCAUCGUCCUGCCCUUCUAAUUCUUCGGGAUGGUACUCUGGUUCAUCACCCUCUGGUCCUUCUAGUCCUCCUGAAUUCAUCAUGAUCAAACUGCAGCAUGUACACAGCAGUACAACAGAACACGUUAUUCGUCAUGAUCAAACUGCAGCAUGUACAUAGCAGUACAACAGUACAACACCAUAUAAACAGCACAAAUGUUCAUCUGCAGUUCUACACCAUAUAAACAUCAUAAAUUUUGCAUGGAUUUGAUCCUGACCAUUCUGCACAAGUAGUACGUCUACGACAUUAAGCUAUGCUUUAACAUUCAGCUAACCCUAAAACAGAAAGAGCACAACUUUAUCAACAGCAAAACGUAUACCUUGGGGUGGGGGCUUGGAGUUGCAGGCUUGCUGGUUGCAGCCGACAGGAAGGAAGAUAUUUG